UGAGAGGUUUAAUUUAUAAAGGACUUUAAGUCCCACUUUUUUAAAAAAGGAGAAUGUUUGGUAUAUUCAUUUCCAUCUCUGGAGGAGCUGAGUACAGCUGUCCUUUCCAAAGUCUACGAUGGGUUCUCUGUGCAUAGGUGCCUGGGAGUUGAUGCUGCAUUGAGACUCUGAAAAGAGCAGACUCUAGUGAUCAGAGGGAUGGAUGGGGCAGUGAAGAAGGCUAGCAAUAAGGGUGGGUCGUGUUUGUAAGGGGUGGUGGAGACACAGGAAUGUGGUCUUUCUCCUGCUGGUUUCUCUCCUGUUCCAGGGACAGGGCCAUCCUAGUGCCUGGAAAACAAGGUGGAGCCGGUACUGGAGGGACUUAAGCAACAGACUUCUAAACAAAAGCCUGAAGCUGACUCAUCUUCUCCCGGGGUCCUGCUGUCAUCAUCAGUCCUGUAGUGAUUAGACCCGAGCUCUGCUGACCCUCUGGAAUUCCCAGUUCAAUUGAAAGGUAUCCAGUGCCUCUGAUACAGAAGUGAAUUCAGAGUGUGUCAGACAGAACUUCAAAAUGGCCUCCCAUGAACUUUAACCUGCUGUUACUCCUCUGAUUACACCAUUACACUAUGUGGUAUGGUCUGAAAGUGAACCAACCUCCACGUGGCGUAGUAUUCUUGGACCCCAGCUGGUGAUAAAAUUUGAGAAGGCUGGUAAUAGAGUCAAGGAGUUGCAGAGCACAAGGAGAACUUGACUCAGCUGUGCUGGCUUGAAGGAGGAAGAACUCUGAGGCAGAGAAACUUCUAUGAGAUAAAAGAUGUUGUAUAGAAACAAAGACCCUGAUUGUACAGCUUAAAGAAACAGAACAGCAUUGAGACAACAGCCCAAGAUACCUGAAGGACAUUUCCCUGACCUCUAGAGAAGUCUAGAUGUCUGACAUCUUGAUUUUAGCCUGUAGAAUCUAGGCAGACAACCUAGGUGGGCCCUCCUGAAUUCAGAACUAUGAG